rnacentral:lncRNA from 1 species
UUCAAGUGUCCCCAUGAGACCAAUUUGUUUAGAAAAUACAGAAUAUGAGUUCCAAAUAACACUAAAGCAAUAUCGCUUCUCUUAGCAUACACUUCUGUGGAGCUUGUGACUCAAAUAUAAGCUGCAGAGGGGCUGGAACUCGCCAGCUACAGAGUCCAGGGGCACAUGGUGGACAUGUACAAGGUAUUGACACCAAGUCCUCUGAGUCACUGUGAGGUUUAAAUCCUGUGCCAAGUAAAGCGCCGAGUACCUGUACGGUGACAUGGUAACCACCUCACGCCACUCCUUCCGCCUUAGGAAACCCUCAUAUGGAACCGACCUAGAUGACGACCCACAGACUGAACUGGGGUACAGAGAAUGAGGAAGCUCAUUCCAGGAAGAAGAAACAAGUACAACAGGAGAAACAGAAGUAAUGUGUGUCGAAACAGCAUUUGACUGCAAUAGUAUAAAGUCUGGGAAACAAUUUAGAGCUAGAUUACGUUAGGACCCAGCCAAAGAAUUUACAUGCUAGCCUAUUGAGUCUGGCUAGCACUGCCUGCAUGCACAUGACUGUGGAGCCAUCCACUGGAGCCUGGGUAACGUAACAAUAGACACACUCCUAAAGAAAAAUGACUCUCCUGCUCAUCAAUUGAACUUGUGGAUUGCCAACAGUUCCUCGGCUGUGGGAAAGCCUCGUGAACUCCUCUCCCCUCCAGGCUGGAAUGUUGACUGACUUGAUCUCAUGCAGGUCUUGUGCUGGUAAGCACAGCUGUUGUGAGCUCAUGAGUGCCAUAGCCAUGCCAUGCCCAUAAAAGCAUUUCACAGCACCCCUCCCUGACCUUCCACUCUUGCGUUAUUUCUGCCCCAUCUUCCUUGACAGUCCUUGAGUUGUGGGUGGAGG